AGAGCGAACGCUGGCGGCAGGCUUAACACAUGCAAGUCGAACGAUCCUUCGGGAUAGUGGCGGACGGGUGAGUAACACGUGGGAACGUGCCUUUAGGUUCGGAACAACACAGGGAAACUUGUGCUAAUACCGGAUGUGCCCUUCGGGGGAAAGAUUUAUCGCCUUUAGAGCGGCCCGCGUCUGAUUAGCUAGUUGGUGGGGUAAAAGCCUACCAAGGCUACGAUCAGUAGCUGGUCUGAGAGGAUGACCAGCCACAUUGGGACUGAGACACGGCCCAAACUCCUACGGGAGGCAGCAGUGGGGAAUCUUGCGCAAUGGGCGAAAGCCUGACGCAGCCAUGCCGCGUGGAUGAUGAAGGUCUUAGGAUUGUAAAAUCCUUUCACCGGGGACGAUAAUGACGGUACCCGGAGAAGAAGCCCCGGCUAACUUCGUGCCAGCAGCCGC
rnacentral:rRNA from 1 species